rnacentral:piRNA from 1 species
UGUGAGUCAUGUGAUGGUCCUUGACGGAACA